rnacentral:rRNA from 1 species
GGCUGCAGUGGGGAAUUUUGCGCAAUGGGGGAAACCCUGACGCAGCAACGCCGCGUGAGUGAUGAAGGCCUUCGGGUCGUAAAGCUCUGUCAGAGGGGAAGAAUUGUGGGGUGUUAACAGCAUCUUCACUUGACGGUACCCUCAAAGGAAGCACCGGCUAACUCCGUGCCAGCAGCCGCGGUAAUACGGAGGGUGCAAGCGUUAUUCGGAAUUACUGGGCGUAAAGCGCACGCAGGCGGUCUGUCAAGUCGGAUGUGAAAUCCCCGGGCUCAACCUGGGAACUGCAUUCGAAACUGGCAGGCUA